GUGGACUUGUGGCUCAGUGGUAGAGCGCUUGCUUGGUCAUGUGAGGCCCUGGGUUUAAUCCUCAGCACCACA
rnacentral:tRNA from 1 species